rnacentral:rRNA from 1 species
UUCAAGUCUUUAAGAGCAAACGGUGGAUGCCUUGGCAUCUGGAGCCGAAGAAGGACGUAGCAAUCUGCGAUAAGCCUCGGGGAGUGGAUAAGCACACUUUGAUCCGAGGAUCUCCGAAUGGGGAAACCCCGCUGGGCGGCGUGCCGACCCAGUGACUCCCGCCUGAAUAUAUAGGGCGGGUAGAGGGAACGUGGGGAAGUGAAACAUCUCAGUACCCACAGGAAGAGAAAACAACCGUGAUUCCGUUAGUAGUGGCGAGCGAAACCGGAAAAGGCUAAACCGAGCGUGUGUGAUAGCCGGCAGGCGUUGCACGUUCGGGGUUGCGGGACUUUUCAUGCAGUUCUGCCGAAUUGCGAGCGUGACAAGAAGGUAUAGACGAAUGGCAUUGAAAGGCCAGUCAUAGAGGGUGCCAACCCCGUAGUCGAAAUGCCUCACUUGGCGCGAGAAGUAUCCCAAGUAGCACGGGGCCCGAGAAAUCCCGUGUGAAUCUGUCAGGACCACCUGNNNNNNNNNNNNNNGAAAUAGUACCUGAAACCGUUUGCUUACAAACCGUUGGAGCAGCCCUAGCAGCUGUGACAGCGUGCCUUUUGAAGAAUGAGCCUGCGAGUUAGCGAUACGUGGCGAGGUUAACCCGUGAGGGGUAGCCGUAGCGAAAGCGAGUCUGAAUAGGGCGAUUCAGUCGCGUGUCCUAGACCCGAAGCGAAGUGAUCUAUCCAUGGCCAGGCUGAAGCGACGGUAAGACGUCGUGGAGGGCCGAACCCACUUAGGUUGAAAACUGAGGGGAUGAGCUGUGGAUAGGGGUGAAAGGCCAAUCAAACUUCGUGAUAGCUGGUUCUCUCCGAAAUGCAUUUAGGUGCAGCGUUGCGUGUUUCUUGCCGGAGGUAGAGCUACUGGAUGGCCGAUGGGCCCCACCAGGUUACUGACGUCAGCCAAACUCCGAAUGCCGGUAAGUGAGAGCGCAGCAGUGAGACUGUGGGGGAUAAGCUUCAUAGUCGAGAGGGAAACAACCCAGACCACCAACUAAGGUCCCAAAGCGCGUGCUAAGUGGGAAAGGAUGUGGAGUUGCUCAGACAACCAGGAGGUUGGCUUAGAAGCAGCCACCCUUGAAAGAGUGCGUAAUAGCUCACUGGUCAAGUGAUUCCGCGCCGACAAUGUAACGGGGCUCAAGCACGCCACCGAAGUUGUGGCAUUGACAUUAGUGGUAGNCCCAGCCGUGGACGCGACACGAGUGAGAAUGCAGGCAUGAGUAGCGAAAGACGUGUGAGAAACACGUCCUCCGAAAGACCAAGGGUUCCAGGGUCAAGCUAAUCUUCCCUGGGUAAGUCGGGACCUAAGGCGAGGCCGACAGGCGUAGUCGAUGGACAACGGGUUGAUAUUCCCGUACCGGCGAAGAACCGCCCCAAUCAAUCCAGUGGUGCUAAAUGCCCGAAUCCUCAUACUCAAUCCUUCGGGAAGCGGUGUGAGGGCUAGCGCAUGACCCCAUGCUGGUGCGGUUAGCGUAUUAACAGGUGUGACGCAGGAAGGUAGCCCAAGCCAGGCGAUGGUAGUCCUGGUGCAAGUGCGUAGGCUGAGUGAUAGGCAAAUCCGUCACUCGUUCGGCUGAGACACGAUGCGGAUAAAAAGUGGGUGAUCCUAUGCUGCCAAGAAAAGCAUCGACGCGAGGUUCAAGCCGCCCGUACCCCAAACCGACUCAGGUGGUCAGGUAGAGAAUACCAAGGAGAUCGAGAGAAUCGUGGUUAAGGAACUCGGCAAAAUGCCCCCGUAACUUCGGGAGAAGGGGGGCCUUCGACGUAUUAGGACUUGCUCCGAAAGCGUUUGGAGGCCGCAGAGACUAGUGGGUAGCGACUGUUUACUAAAAACACAGGUCCGUGCCAAGUCGCAAGACGAUGUAUACGGACUGACGCCUGCCCGGUGCUGGAAGGUUAAGAGGAAGGGUUAGCGUAAGCGAAGCUCAGAAUUUAAGCCCCAGUAAACGGCGGUGGUAACUAUAACCAUCCUAAGGUAGCGAAAUUCCUUGUCGGGUAAGUUCCGACCUGCACGAAUGGCGUAACGACUUCCCAACUGUCUCAACCGCGAACUCGGCGAAAUUGCAUUACGAGUAAAGAUGCUCGUUACGCGCAGCAGGACGGNNNNNNNGGGAGACUUUGAAGCUUGGACGCCAGUUCAGGUGGAGUCAUUGUUGAAAUACCACUCUGGUCACUCUGGAUAUCUAACUUAGAACCGUAAUCCGGUUCAGGGACAGUGCCUGGUGGGUAGUUUAACUGGGGCGGUUGCCUCCCAAAAAGUAACGGAGGCGCCCAAAGGUUCCCUCAAUCUGGUUGGCAAUCAGAUGUCGAGUGUAAGUGCACAAGGGAGCUUGACUGUGAGACUGACAGGUCGAGCAGGGACGAAAGUCGGGACUAGUGAUCCGGCAGUGGCUUGUGGAAGCGCUGUCGCUCAACGGAUAAAAGGUACCUCGGGGAUAACAGGCUGAUCUUGCCCNNNNNNGUAGGUCCCAAGGGUUGGGCUGUUCGCCCAUUAAAGCGGUACGCGAGCUGGGUUUAGAACGUCGUGAGACAGUUCGGUCCCUAUCCGCUGCGCGCGUAGGAAGUUUGAGAGGAUCUGACCCUAGUACGAGAGGACCGGGUUGGACGAACCUCUGGUGUGUCAGUUGUUCCGCCAGGAGCACCGCUGAUUAGCUACGUUCGGGAUGGAUAACCGCUGAAAGCAUCUAAGCGGGAAGCCGGCCUCAAGAUGAGACUUCCAUGCCUUCGGGCGAGAGGCUCCCAGCCAGACUACUGGGUUGAUAGGCCGGAUGUGGAAGCGCGGUAACGCGUGAAGCUGACCGGUACUAAUAAGCCGAUGACUUGAUAACACCUC